GCCACGGCAUCUUCCAUCGCCAACAUCUUCCAUCACCUCGAGCAGCAGCAUCUUCCAUCACCAUCGAUAAUGUCAUCUUCCAUGGAUCAGCAUCUUCAAAUAGUCAUACUGGCAACCACACAAUAGAGUAGUUGCACGGAGAAUUCAGAAUAUGGGAUGGAGGGCAGAUGGUGGUCUUUGGCUUCUAAUGCGUGGUGGUGGACUUUACCUUAGCAAAGGCACAGGGGGCUAUGGAUUAUACUGCAGUAGAACAACCUGUGGAAGCAUUCACGAAUAUCCUUUUCUUAUCUGGAACUACAGGUAACGUGAAACCGUUUAACUGAAACAUCUCAAAGAUCUUGAUGCUUCAUCUUGCAUAUUUCAUGCAAA